UUAGCACAGUUAUCAGAAUGGACCCAGCUACAUUUCUGAUUUCUCCCUACUGGUCACCUUUGGAACACGCUGUUCUCCAGCCACAGCAAACUGAUACAACAAUGCAUAUUGGGCACUUAACUGCAUGAUGGGUACCGUCUUGUUUCUGUGUUUACUUGCAUAAUUUCGGACAGUCUUCAGAAAAAACAUGUAAAUUAUCCCAUUUACAAAGAUUAAAGAAUUUGCCCAAGGGCACACAGUAGCAACAGAGUGUCAAGACGUGAGGCCAAACCCUUUACAGACUCUUAAGGAUGCCCACAUGCACGGAUUACAUAGAGUGUUAUGGACACUAUAUUCACCUCCACGUGGUAUUCCCUGCCCACAUGUGAAGAAUUUCAAGGUCAGCAUUUUGAAUUUUGACCUCCAGGCUUUCUCCAGCCUCACGUUUUCUGUUGCAUCCUCCAUGUCAAAGAUCAAAAGCGAGGCUGCUUUCCCUGCUCCUUUUACACACCAGUGGUUUUCUUUGCACGCAACCCUUCAUCAGUCAAACAUUCACUAAAUGUUGCAUAUUUUAUCUCUCUUAGAAUAUGCCCUAGAUCCUAAUCUUCACAAGUGUCAUUGGUUAUCUAGUGCGUCAGCACAGCACAUAAGCCUAGGUUCAAACCUCUGUCACUCAGUAGUAGUCUGGGCCUCACUUCAUUCAUUCAUUGAUGCAUUUAUUCUAGAUUCCAGGAAAGCAGUAGAGAAUAAACAGACAACAAUAACCUGCCUCACUGAAGUUUACAUUCUAAUGAGGACAGUCCAAUUAACAAAACAAAUAAUUAUAUAUUAGAAAGUGAAAGCGCUAUAGAGAAAAAGCAAGAAAAGGAAUUCGGAAGUGUGUAACAUUGGGAAUAUAUAUUCCUCCCUCAAAGGACUGUGAGGAUUAGACACAACUGAGAUGACACACGAGAAGUGUAGGGCACAAAGUCGGUAUUCAGAAGAUGAUUUUUAAAAUAUCACCACUUCAUUCCUGCAUAAGGAAUGCUGUUGGUGGUGAUAUUGCCAUUCCUGUGAGGCACUGAGGAAAAGCUCUCUUAGGAGAUAAGGGCUGUAGUAGUUGGAAGAAUUACAGGCUUCCUUAAUUCCAGAGGCCUCAGUGCCCUUCAGAGGAUAUCAUUCAUAUGAAGAGGUCUGUAUUUAAAAAUUGGAGAUAGCAGAUCAUCUGUGAUCCAUUCUCAUGAGUGCAGAGAAGCACUCUGAGCAUGAGAGCCACUCUUCUGUGACUGGAAGGAAACUUCCAUUCAUGGACAGAUGAGAAAGCCUGUGCUAGAAGCCACCUUGUAGAAACAUACCCAGGUUUGAGUAAACAGACACCUGCUUAGCACAGUUUCCAUACUAAUUUUUGCACAUAUAUGAUUCCAAGAUUAUUUUUAUUAAACAUCCGAUAAGUAUAUAUCCUUUGGUAUAAAUCCAUCAGGUUUUGCUGGACCUACCAGAAGUUUUAGAUUCCUUACCCAAACCUCCAAAGUGUAAACCUGGCCGGGCAUGGUGGCUCACGCCUGUAAUCCCAGCAUUUUUGGGAGGCCAAGGCAGGCAGAUUUUCUUUAGGUGAAGUCAUCAUAGAUAUUUAUACAGGGGUGUGACAUGAUUUCAGGAUAUAAUUCUGUAACAAAGGGGGCGAGUAGACUGGAAGGGAGAGAGAAACUGGGGGCAGGAAAACCAAUUAGGAAGCGAUUGCAAUUGUCCAGAAAAAGGAUGCAGUACCACCACGAUCAUCCUCUUCCUAAAAUAAUGUAUUCAUCAACCUGCUUAGUUUUAUUCCUCCUAUUUCUGCAGCUAGAAAAAUCACUUAGCCCUCUUGUGACUCAGAAUUUCUCCCUAUUAAUAGAAGAUGACAGAAUACUUAUCUCACCUCACACAGGGAGAUACUGAGAGAUGCUUGCAAUUGUAGCCACGAAAGAGGGGGAAAUGUUAUUCCAAAUGCCAGUGGCAGUAAUUACUCUGGAGUAGUGAGGGGAGGGACACUGCCUUUCCUCACUAACAGUCCAUUAUAAAAAUUUCAAACCUAUAGAAAAGUUGAAAGUUGAGUAAGAGCAUCAGAAAUACUCUUUGGAGGGAAGCUUCUGCAGAAAUUCCAAGUACUCACCACCCAGGAAGUGGCAUUU
rnacentral:lncRNA from 1 species